UUCUCUUUUUUCCCUUUUCCAAACCCUAUGCGGGGAUUAUCGCAAUAUUUGUGAUCAAGGGCUACCGCCUAGGGCACGAACACCUCACCGUUGUCAAAGGAAGUUAUUUCUCUAGCUGUCAGAUUAGGCUCUCAUUGUGAUUCUCUUUUUCACAUAUCGGAAGGGUAGAUCAGUGUCGUCGUUUGACAAAAGGGGGUUUUUAAAACCCUAGCAUUGAAGGAAGUGUGGAAGUCGUGACUGGGAGCAGCUGUAGAAGAUGGUGGCCUGAGGUCUGGAUCUAGGGUUUGAACAAGCCACAUUAGAGGAUGACGGAUUCAAAAGAGGUUUUCCCCUUAGAUUUGGCCCAGAUUUGAGGGUUUUCGUUGUGAUUGCCGUUUGAGGGUGGAAUUUGAGGGUUUUCCCCUUAGAUUUGGCCCGGAUUUGGACGAAUUCGAUUCAAAAGAGCUGGUUUUUAGGGUUUUGGAUGCGAUUUGGAGCGGAUCUACUUGAAGUCGAAGCAUUCGGCGGAGGGUUUCCUGUGGAAAUUGCAUUUUGAGAGAAAUCCAUUUUUCGGCCUUUUUUUAGGCGCUUGAAGUUAGUUCUGAUUGGCAUUGAAGUGGUUUGCGGAAAAAUGGCAGUAGAUCUAUAGGAGAUUUGAGCAUUUUUAUCUAUCCGAUCUGCCAAUGGAGGUAGAACAAGAGAGAGAGGGCAUUAAUCCAAAAAGAGGCAGAUCAAAAGCUCAAGUUGACCACACCAGAACAAAUAGUGGGGAUUGAAUUCCUACAAUUGAAAACGGGAAAGGGUUAUCAAUCUUGUCAGAUUUUGGAUUGGAAGAUCUACGGUCGGAGUUAACAAAGAGUUUCGGGGGAAAGUCUGUCGGAAGCUCCAUUUCCAUCCGAAAAUCUCGCUUAGCCCGGAUGUUUUUGCCAUUAUGCUGUUCAACCUACCAGAUCUUGUAAUCUUCGUCUUUUUUUUGCUCGCAUUUGUGGAAUUGACGGAGAAAGCGCACGAGAACCGGAAUGAAUGGUUGAGUUGUAGGAAUCGAGAUCAGAGGAUAUAGGUGUAAAGCUUCGAGGAAGAGAAAGGGGUUCGAGGAGAUUUUCCAGAAACUCGAAUGGAUGAGAUCAGAUUACUUUCUUGAAAUUCUCUAUUUUGAAGUUUUGUAGCUAAAAAUCUUUGUUUUUUUCCAGCCAAACUAUAGGAGAUUCAGGCAAAAAGAAGUCUUCAGAACUUUGUAUUUCCAGCUAUAAGCAGAGUUUGGAAUUUUUUUGUGGAAAAUAGGAUUUUUUUUUUUUUUUGAGACUUACAUUUCCUUUUCCCUUUUGAAACAGGCACUGACAAUGAAGAGGUGGAGUACAAGCCUCUCCCUGGUGAUCCAAGAAAUGGUACUUAAAAAGAGACUAGGGCAUCUGGAGAUGCAGAGGCGAGUUUAUGUUGUUAGUUGUAUUCCCAUCUAUCUAAGCUGUUGGAGUAAUUUCUUGUAACCAUGCCAAGUCCCAGUUCUUCAGAAUGUUUACUGGAAGGACCUCAUCCUUCUUGUCUCUGUUUGGAUUGCACUCCUUGCACUACAGAUUGCCAAGAAUUACACAGCAACCUGUUCAAUAGCAUACUGGGUUUUGAACUUAUUGCAGGUACAAUCUUGCUCUGAUCCUUGGUCUACACACAUUUUGAACUUAUUGAGAUGUGGUUACAAAAUUUAAGUACAGUAGUUAUUUGAUUUAAAAGAAUUACACUGUUUACAUUUGGGACAACAGAUAGGAAUGUUAUCUCUUUACAAUUAGUUUACAAGAAUAUGUUAUAGUCUGUUUUCCAUAAUUUUUUAGUACUUGGGCCCCAUUCAACUCAACCUGCAUAUUUUCUGACCGAGCAACUCAAAGAGUUUUUAAGAUAACUUUGAUCAGAGAUGAAUGCUCCUGAGAAGCCUGGUUUUUAAUGUGUUGGAGUAUCAAAUGUCUGUCAAUUGAUAUCUCUCAGAUCCUAGUUGUUGUUGGGGUGUCUCUACGUGAGGCAGUUAGCUUAUACAAUGGUAGGAGAGUAAUCGCAUCCAAGGGAGAUGAAGGGACAAACUGGA